rnacentral:lncRNA from 1 species
GUAAAACAGUGAGACAUGUGGCCAUAUGUAAAACGGGUUGUGAACUCUGCAAAAUAUGAACCUUUUUGAUGAAAAUGAAGACCCAUCCAUGCAGUGAAUGAGAGCCACCACUUGUCUCCUCGAGCAAUCUUAAGAGCGAUGUAACAUAUGUCCAUGUAUGCAAGUUUCAUGGGUUCAAAGCAGUAUAAUCAAGCCGCACAAUUAAGGCAUUUAUAUGGAACACUCAACUCCCCAAGAUGAAGCAUCUCACUCAACAGAAGCGAAUUCAACAUGAUCAAACUGAACUGAAUACUUAGUGAAGGACAAACAUACUUCGUACCACAAACCCAUCAAACCAAUGCAGUAGACGUGCAGUUCAUUCCAAGUACAACACUGGGUCGAUAGAUCUGAAAACAGAACAUGUCUGUAUAUGUGUGGAAAAUGUUGAAUGCCAUGAACCUGAAAGACAACUAACUAAUUGACGACGUCACGCUAAAUGACGAUAAGGACCGCUGUUUCGGCAGUUGUUCAGGUUCAAUAGACAUACAUUAACUCAUGCUUGUGAGCGUCUGAACUGAGCACAUAAUAAGAAAAAGCCACAGCUACCCGUCAUGAGCUGAACAAAGACUUGUUGACAAGUAACAAGCAAGGACAAAUACAUAGGCACUAAAACGUAAGAUAUCGGAGAAAACCUAAAAAACCAAACAAAUGAAAACAAAAGAAACUACUUAGGGUGAUCGUGGACCAGGACUUACAUCCCUUCCAUAUGACACUAAUCCUGCAUUCUCACCUGAAGAUCUGCUCCGCGAUGGAGAAACACUGACUGAUGGUGUCGUUGACCUGCGUCGUCGGCGAUCAGGUUUAUCCCUAGCAUAGGAGACUAAUUUCUUCCUGCCAGGUGAGAGACUUUUGGACGACGAUCGACUUGGAGAGUGUGAUAUGGAAGAGGUGGCACUUGGAGAACGACGUAUCGCUGCUCCAGCGGCUCCGUUGUUUGGUCCAUCUUUAGGUGAGCUAGUACGUCGGGGCCUAAGGCGAUUACGGAGGUCAUUGCUGAUGGGAGCACGACCUCCAGACGGGGAUGCACUACGACUGAUGCUACGAGAAAUAUCCCUUCGGCUAAGAUCACGGCGGGCAGGAGGACUACGACUUCGACUCCUGCUGACAUGCCUCCUGUAUCU